GAUGAACGCUGGCGGCGUGCCUAAUACAUUCAAGUCGAGCGAACAGACGCGGCGCUUGCUCCUCUGACGAUAGCGGCGGAGGGGUGAGUCACGCGUGGAUCACCUCCUUAUCAGUCUGGGAUAUCUUCGGGACACCGGCGCUUAUACCGGAUAAUCUAUUGCACCGCAUGGUUCAUUAGUGAAAGUCGGCUUUGCUGUCAGUUAUAGCUGGAUCCGCGCCGGUUUAGCUAGUUGGUAAGGUAACGGCUUACCAAGGCAACGCUGCGUAACCGACCUGUGAGGGGGGUCGCCCACACGGGAACGGAGCCGCGGACCAGACUCCUACGGGAGGCACCAGAAGGGAAUCUUCCGCAAUGGGCGGAAGCCUGACGGAGCAACGCCGCGCGAGAGAUGAAGGUCCUCGGAGCGGAAAACCCUGUUAUUAGGGAAGAACAAAUUUGGAAGUAACUAUGCACGUCGUGACGGUACCGAAUAAGAAAGCCACGGCUAACUACGUG
rnacentral:rRNA from 1 species